AGUCACUGACAUUAGACUACCCCCGUAGUCCAGGGUGUAAACGCUGCAGACUUGGUGUUGGGAAGCCCUUUGGGGGCAUUCAGUGCCGGAGAGAAGUUGUUAAGUCUGCUACUUGGGAGUACGUCCGCAAGGAUGAAACUUAAAGGAAUUGGCGGGGGAGCACCGCAACGGGAGGAGCGUGCGGUUUAAUUGGAUUCAACACCGUAAACUCACCAGGGAAGACUGUUACAUGAAGGCCGAGAUGAAGACUCUGCUAGAUUUUCAG
rnacentral:rRNA from 1 species